rnacentral:tRNA from 1 species
GGAAGGGUGGCUGAGUGGUUUAAGGCACCUGACUCGAAAUCAGGCGUGGGUGAAUAACCCACCGGGGGUUCAAAUCCCUCCCCUUCCGCCA